GACCGCGCGGCGCGGGCUCGCCCGAGUGCAGCGGGGGCAGGGCGGGGACCGCUUGCCGAGAGGAACCGGCCGGAUCGAGUCGAGCCGGGCCGAGCCUGACAGAGCUCGUCGAGGCGCCCGGCGCUGACUACACGACCCCGAGCGAGCCUGAGGUUUGUGUGUAUAGGUAUGAAAAACAUGGUACGUGGUACUAUCUGCAGUUUCAGGCAUCCACCUGGGGGUCUUGGAGUGCAUUCCUUGUGGAUAAGGGGGAGACUACUGUGCUUUGAUUAAAUAGCGUACCUGAAGGUUCUGCUAUAAACUACAGGCCAGAAUUUGCAUCUUCAACAAAGAACAAUCUCAGAGCCACAUGGAAAGGGACCAUUCGAGGUACCUCACAUGAUUGCCACUCCAAAGAACAGACUUUGAGGUUCAGGCUUCUGAGCUGACAUCACUUAGAUGACUUUCAGACCAUACCAGUGGACUAAGGCAAGAUUUCCAGGGCUCAUUAUAAUCCAGUGAAAGGCACAGAUAGCAUAGCAUCAGAUAACCAGGAUGCAUGUGCUAAACAAUGCCUCACCUUCCAUAAGAUGCCUAAUAAUCUUUUUUUCUUUUUUUUUCUCUUUCAAAAUAUUUCAGAGUUAUUCAUCACUGAAACCCAGGUAUCCUGACAUGCAUUUUAGAAAAAAAAAAAAAAAAAACUCAUACGUCCCUUCCCAGAUAAAAUAAACAUGAAGCUAUUGCUAAGAAU